GACGAACGCUGGCGGCGUGCCUAAUACAUGCAAGUAGAACGCACAGUUUAUACCGUAGCUUGCUACACCAUAAACUGUGAGUUGCGAACGGGUGAGUAACGCGUAGGUAACCUGCCUGGUAGCGGGGGAUAACUAUUGGAAACGAUAGCUAAUACCGCAUAAUAUUGAUUAUUGCAUGAUAAUUGAUUGAAAGAUGCUAUUGCAUCACUACCAGAUGGACCUGCGUUGUAUUAGCUAGUAGGGGAGGUAACGGCUCACCCAGGCGACGAUACAUAGCCGACCUGAGAGGGUGAUCGGCCACACUGGGACUGAGACACGGCCCCGACUCCUGCGGGAGGCAGCAGUAGGGAAUCGUCGGCAAUGGACGAAAGUCUGAACGAGCAACGCCGCGUGGGGGAAGAAGGUUUUCGGAUCGUAAAGCUCUGUUGUUAGAGAAGAACAGGUGUGAGAGUGGAAAGUACACACUGUGACGGUAUCUUACCAGAAAGGGACGGCUAACUACGUG
rnacentral:rRNA from 1 species